rnacentral:tRNA from 1 species
GGCACUGUGGCUCAAGUGGUAGAGCGCUUUCCUUGAAAUGAAGAACUCAGGGGCAGUGCCC